AGGGGGAGCAAGACGUGCAUGGUAUACACAUUAUAUCUGUUUGAGUUUGUGAAAAAGGAAAAAAGAAAUCCAGUCACAUCAUUUGUAUUGCUUUUUUUCUCGCCGUUAUGUGCGGAACAUGUUAUUCAGCAUUAAGGUGUAGGAGGAGUGGAGGAGUUUGUACGAAAAGCUAUUGUCCAAAGGGGUAUUUUGAGGACCAUUUGCCACACGAAGACUGUUGUUCUACUGAAAGAUGUUGUCUUCUCUUGUGGCAUCAAAAGCCAUCCAAAUUUCCAAGUUACUAGGACUCGCUCAGCGUGAAAUGACAACGUCAAAACUGCGG